rnacentral:rRNA from 1 species
AGAGGUACAGGGAAUUUCCGGUGGAGCGGUGAAAUGCGUAGAUAUCGGAAGGAACACCAAUAUGGCGAAGGCACUGUACUGGGCUUUACCUGACGCUAAGAGACGAAAGCUAAAGGAGUGAUUAGGAUUAGAUACCCUAGUAAUUUUAGCCGUAAACGAUGGAAACUCACUGCCGAGCCGGUAUUUGGAGCGGUGGUCAAGCUAACGCGUGAAGUUUCCCGCCUGGGGAUUACGCAUGCAAAUGUGAAACUCAAAGGAAUUGACGGGGACCCGCGCAAGCGGUGGAGUAUGUGGUUUAAUUCGAUGCAACGCGAAAAACCUUACCAAGGUUUGAAAUCAUUCUAAAACUCUUUGAAAGAAGAGCCUCCUUCGGGAUAGAAUGACAGGUGGUGCAUGGCUGUCGUCAGCUCGUGUUGUGAAAUGUCAAGUUAAGUCUUGUAACGAGCGCAACCCAUGUCUUUUGUUGCUGUUUACAGUGCUUAAAAGAGACUGCCGCUCUACAGCGGAGGAAGGUGUGGAUGAUGUCAAGUCAGCAUGCCCCUUAUAUCUUGGGCUACACACGUACUACAAUGGUAGGGACAAUGAGUCGCAAACCUGCGAAGGCUAGCCAAUCUCAAAAACCCUAUCUCAGUUCGGAUUGUACUCUGCAACUCGAGUGCAUGAAGGUGGAAUCGCUAGUAAUCGCUGGUCAGCAUACAGCGGUGAAUACGUUCCCGGGUCUUGUACACACUGCCCGUCACACCAUGGAAGUCGAUCCUUCCCUAAGUCGUUACUCGAACCUUUUAGGACGAGGAUGCCGAAGGCAGGGUUGGUGACUAGGGUGAAGUCGUAACAAGGUAACC